GGCCAGGGUGGCCUAACCUUGUCCUUUCACUUUCAUUAUAUGCUUAUCCGGCCUUCAAGCAGCUGUUGUUGCUGUAUCAAUGGCUGACAGUCAUCACUGCAACCAAGGAAAAUGUCAGCUGGGGGCUCAGCUCUGUGCAGCUUCACUCUGGGACCCAGGCUGCCCGGAGAAUCCCCAUCUGGAGCAUGGCCAGUCUCUGUGGGAGAGGGAGAAGAUAGAGUGGUGAACUGCGCACUGGCUUAUGCCCGAAAGUGACACACGACCCUUCUCCUCACGUGGCACUGGACAAAGUAACAUACCUGUUUUGGCUCUAACCUGUGCUGGACCACCUUCCUACACGGAUACUCCUCUCACCCCACCUGGGCUCUGAAACAUCCUCUUCAACUGCCUCGAUGCCAACAUCUCGCACUAGGCUAUGCCUUUGCAAGAACACUCUCCUUACCCCACGUGGGCUCUGAAACCUCCUGCCAGGCUGCCCCUCCCACCCUCAAUCCUCAGCCCACCUGGGCCACCCUGCACUAAGCCAUCCUCUCAGCCUGCUUUGGCUCUGACACUGAGCUGAGCCGACCCUCUGCAAGGGUGGCUCUCUUGAGCUGCUUGGGCCCAACACUGGCACCAGGUGUCCCACUCGUGGGAUGCCCUCCUCACCCCACUUUUGCGGUGUUCUAAUUCUUUAAAGAUUUCUAUUAUCUAUGUAUAUAGUAUCAGUUUUUCCUCAAACUAGAGGUCUGUGUAUGUAUUAUUGAUGAUCCAUCAGUAAUAAUGUGUUGUCAUUUCAAUGAUGAUCUAAAAAAGACUUACAUUAUAAAAUAUAAGCAUAUCUGGGAUGUUCGUUUUAUAACCACAUACUUCUAGUGUUGGUGCUUUGUGUUUAAAAUUGGGUUGGUACCGCGUGAUUGUUAAUGUGUCAAUAUUUAACUUUUAAAUUGGUAGUAGUUUUAGAUUGGCAUUCUUGGCAUCAAAAUACAAAAACCAUCUUGAUUUCUGUUCAGUAAAAA